rnacentral:rRNA from 1 species
UGGGGAAUAUUGGACAAUGGGCGAAAGCCUGAUCCAGCCAUGCCGCGUGUGUGAAGAAGGUCUUCGGAUUGUAAAGCACUUUAAGUUGGGAGGAAGGGCAUUUACCUAAUACGUAAGUGUUUUGACGUUACCGACAGAAUAAGCACCGGCUAACUCUGUGCCAGCAGCCGCGGUAAUACAGAGGGUGCAAGCGUUAAUCGGAAUUACUGGGCGUAAAGCGCGCGUAGGUGGUUUGUUAAGUUGGAUGUGAAAUCCCCGGGCUCAACCCGGGAACUGCAUUCAAAACUGACAAGCUAGAGUAUGGUAGAGGGUGGUGGAAUUUCCUGUGUAGCGGUGAAAUGCGUAGAUAUAGGAAGGAACACCAGUGGCGAAGGCGACCACCUGGACUGAUACUGACACUGAGGUGCGAAAGCGUGGGGAGCAAACAGGAUUAGAUACCCCCGUAGUCCCUGAGCGGGCUGGCAAGGCGCAU